rnacentral:rRNA from 1 species
GACGAACGCUGGCGGCGUGCUUAACACAUGCAAGUCGAACGGAAAGGCCCUGCUUUUGUGGGGUGCUCGAGUGGCGAACGGGUGAGUAACACGUGAGUAACCUGCCCUUGACUUUGGGAUAACUUCAGGAAACUGGGGCUAAUACCGGAUAGGAGCUCCUGCUGCAUGGUGGGGGUUGGAAAGUUUCGGCGGGUGGGGAUGGACGCGCGGCUUAUGAGCUUGUUGGUGGGGGAGUGGCUUACCAAGGCUUUGACGGGUAGCCGGCCUGAGAGGGUGAACGGCCACAUUGGGACUGAGAUACGGCCCAGACUCCUACGGGAGGCAGCAGUGGGGAAUAUGGCACAAUGGGCGGAAGCCUGAGGCAGCAACGCCGCGUGCGGGAUGACGGCCUGCGGGUUGUAAACCGCUUUCGCCUGUGACGAAGCGUGAGUGACGGUAAUGGGUAAAGAAGCACCGGCUAACUACGUG